AUUGGGAUCAUGACCGGACUUUUCCAUGCGAUGUGUUAUUUUUUUUUUCUGAGCUGGGAAAUUUCAUUAGUGUCACAAUUGUUGGGUACAAUUAAAAUUAUGGCAAUUUUGCGGUCAGCAGAAAUUUUCAUCAGGAUUGCUGGUGUUUCGGGGUUUCUAGCCGUAGCUCUUGGUGCAUACGGAUCACAUGGUCUGAGGAAAAGAGUUGAUGACAAAACUUAUGAGGUUUUUCAAACCGCCAACAGGUAUCACUUUAUACACACCCUGGCACUGCUAGCUGUACCUAUGACUAGACAUCCAACAGUUGUUGGCGUCCUACUCUUCCUUGGAAUGCUGGGGUUCUGUGGAACCUGCUACUAUUCUGCUCUGUCUGGAUCAAAGACUCUCAACAAGUUUACUCCUUACGGUGGAAUGGUGCUUAUGGCUGGCUGGCUCGCUAUGGCGUUCUAAUAAUUCUUUCUAAAGAGAUUUUUUUUUACCAAAGAACUUUGGAUGAUGUUAUGAUGUCAAAGGUGAAUAUAGAUCGAUUUGAAUUUGAAUAAAGUCUGGAACGCUGACUUAACCCAAUGCUUUGCAUGUUUUAACUUUGCAUUUUCCGACCAAAGAGACUGUUACUAUAUCCAAGAUUCGGGACAAGCCUUAUGCUAGCAAGCCCCAGCUCCGGCAUGGUCUGGUGUCUUUAUGCCAUUCUCACCCAUUGUGAACAAUG